rnacentral:rRNA from 1 species
AAGGAAUAUUGGGCAAUGGAGGCAACUCUGACCCAGCCAUGCCGCGUGAAGGAUGAAGGCCCUAUGGGUUGUAAACUUCUUUUGUAUGGGAAUAAACGCAGUUACGUGUAACUGUUUGAAUGUACCAUAAGAAUAAGCACCGGCUAACUCCGUGCCAGCAGCCGCGGUAAUACAGAGGGUGCAAGCGUUAUCCGGAUUUAUUGGGUUUAAAGGGAGCGUAGGCGGGAUUGUAAGUCAGUGGUGAAAGCCCGUAGCUCAACUACGGAACUGCCAUUGAUACUGCAGACCUAGAGUACACUUGAAGUGGGCGGAAUGUGUCAUGUAGCGGUGAAAUGCUUAGAUAUGACACAGAACACCAAUUGCGAAGGCAGCUCACUAAAUUGUAACUGACGCUGAGGCUCGAUAGCGUGGGGAUCAAAC